rnacentral:lncRNA from 1 species
AGACUUCGGCGUCGCCAAGAUGUCGACCGCCAUGAAUUUCGGGACCAAGAGCUUCCAGCCGCGGCCCCCGGACAAGGGCAGCUUCCCACUGGAUCACUUAGGUGAAUGUAAAAGCUUUAAAGAUAAAUUCAUGAAGUGUCUUUAUGACAAUCAUUUUGAAAAUGCUUUGUGCAGAAAUGAAUCCAAAGAAUAUUUAGAAUGCAGGAUGGAGAGAAAAUUGAUGCUACAAGAACCAUUGGAGAAGCUGGGAUUUGGAGACUUGAUUGGUGGAAAAUCAGAGGCAAAAAAAUGAAUUUUGAUGAGAAGACCCCUAGGCCGUGUUCAGUGGUCUCUUGGGACGGAGGGCAUCAUCCUGCCUCUUAGGUCGGCGAAGGCCUGCGUGUAGUGUCCUUAGAAACAGGCUUCAAAUAGAGGCUCCACCCCUGUGGGGGCGUCUCCUGGGUAGGGAAGUGGCGUCCUGUUUUCCCUUAGGAGGGUGUUUCUGCAUUGAACCCAUGAGUGGGACGGCGUUCCCUGCAAGGCUGGGAGGGAGGGGAGCGUGGAGCAAGACCCUCGUCUUCGAGGCCGGGGCCCUCUUGUAUGGGGCGGUUUUAUGUUGCAGUCCUCUGAUACCUUCUGAGUUCAAACAGGUAAAUGUGCAUAAAUUUCAGUCCCUCUGAACACAGAUAUCAUCAGGAAAUCACCAUUCCCUAGCAGGAUGUUUUCAUGUUUGUAUUCGUAUAUGCCAGUUCAUUUCCUUAAAGAAAGAAAAAAAAAAAAGUGGAACACAGAGUAGGAAGUGAGAACCUUCUGGCUUUGGAUGGAUUUGACUUCUUGAUUCUUUCUGGUUUUGCCUGAAUACCAAGUAGCUUCAUGAUCAAAGGGUCAUUUUCUGAUUUGUAUCAGACCAUAUUUAUAAAGCUGGGUAUUUAAUUUCAAUAACUCCUAUAUUUUAACAGAAAAAGAGAACCUGAGUCCAUUUGCAGGCUCGCACCAGCUGUCUUCUGUGCCAGUGAGCUCUGCCUAAGAUCCCUGGCACAUGUUCGCAGCACGGCCUGGCCCCUGAGCAGAGUUCUCAGCCCGUCUGCGCCAGAGUUGCCUGUGGGUCACGGAAACCCAGCCCGGGUCCACCCAGUGCAUCAGGCCAGCCGGGGCCCAAACCUGUGGAUGGAACGCAGGUGCUUGCACAUCUGCGGCCUCAGCCAGACCUGUCCCCUUCCCAGGCGUUGUUGGAAAGGGGCUGGCUCCUGUCUGGUCAGUGGAGGGCGGUGGCAGGAGAUGGGGUGGGAGGAUCCAGGUCACGUCCUCUCUGGCGACCCUGGCAGUGGCUGUCUCUAAGCCCUGGCAGGUGGGGCCACCAGCCUGGCCGACCUCGGGCUCCAGGAAACAGGCUGUCCUCACCCCUCCUGCCUGUGGGUGGCUGAGGCUUCUCAGCCCAUCUCCAGUUUUCUGCAGCAAAGGCCCUCUGUUUCUGUCCUGCAGUGGUGGCCCUUUUGUGGUUAAACAUGUCCCCCCCCCCCACAGAACUGAGUACUUGUUGCGAGUGGGCCCGCCCAACCCUGUGUCCCUGCACCCAUGGGUUCUACGACUUGCUUCCGCUGCAGCUGUCACCAUCCCGUGUCUGCUCUCUGUCAGGCCUCUAAGUGCUGCAGACAUAUUAACAUAUCACUGCUAGUUUGAAAAGUCUUAUUUGUUAUCAGAAUAUUUCGUGUAGGCACAGGGUUGCCCCAGCACUGUUUGUGGCAACCCCAGUGUCCUCACAGCAUGCGGGAGCCGUGACGCAGCCACCGUGGAGUCCAUGCUGACACGGUGCGGCCAUGUGCCAUGAGCUCACCGACGCAGUGCGGCUGUGUGGCGUGAGCUUACUGUGAAACGGAGACAGGGACAUAGGAAACUACAAAGGAGAACCCCAGAAGGAGGAGCCGGAGCUGAUGGGCGUGGCCGGCCGCGAGCCCCUCGGAGCACCCCUGGGAGUGGAGUUCUGGCUGUCAUGGCAGAGGGUUUCUUUUUUUUUUUUUUUGAGACGGAGUCUUGCUCUGUCACCCAGUCUGGAGUGCAGUGGCCGGAUCUCAGCUCACUGCAAGCUCCGCCUCCCGGGUUUACGCCAUUCUCCUGCCUCAGCCUCCCGAGUAGCUGGGACUACAGGCGCCACCGCGCCCGGCUAGUUUUUUUUUGUAUUUUUAGUAGAGACGGGGUUUCACCGUGUUAGCCGGGAUGGUCUCUCGAUCUCCUGACCUCGUGAUCCGCCCGUCUCGGCCUCCCAAAGUGCUGGGAUUACAGGCUUGAGCCACCGCGCCCGGCCUAUGGCAGAGGGUUUCACAUGCUCAAAAAGUAAACGAACCAGGAUAUGAGGGGAACACAACAGGCCGUGCCCACAGAGCGCCUGGGCCCAGGCCGGGGCCUCUUCACACCGUACUCUGACCCACCAUCGGGAGCGCUCGGCUGGGGCUGGGGCCUGCCUCUUCCCUUGAACCACACUCUGACUCGCUGAUGGGUGCUCUGGGGCCAGAGCCUUCCUCUUCGUGCCGCACUCCGACUCGUCAGGAGUGUGGGGCAGACUAUGGACCAAAGCUGGGAGAGACAGGAAAGAUACUGCACUCUAGGGAGUGAAUUUCUUUUUUCCGUGUACGAUUCUGAAGCUAUAUUCUGAGAUGGAAAAAACUAGAAGUACAUUGUGGAUGAUAAAAGGCAGGCGUAUUGAGCUCCUGCUUUUCUAACAUACAAAGGUACCUGGAUAGAGAAAUAGAGUGAUCGCUGUCACCUGCCCAGGGUAUCCUCUGAGACCCCAGCGGAUACCUGAAGCCGCGGAUAGUCCUGAAUCCUGUCCCAUGUUUUCUCCUGUACGUACCUGUGAUCAAGUCUGAGGUGUGACCGCAAAACUGACAGAACUUUCUGCUUCCUCCUCAAAAUGUCACAGGUCGGAGCUGUGUUCUUACGGAAGAUCUUAGCAACCUCGGCAUAUGGCUGUUUUAGGUCAGGAGUUUCCACCUUUUCCCUUAAAGGAAGCACUUGGCAGCUUCUCUGGUAUGUCUGAGUCGCCUGCAUCACCACUCUUGUGCUUUGGGGCCAUUAUUAAGUAAAAUAAAGGCUUCUUGGACCCAGGCGCCGCAUCACCGUGACGGUAGGUCUGAUCACCGAGAUGGCUACUGAGUGCCUGGCAGGCAGGGUGGCGUGGACAGCCUGGAAUGCUGGACAGAGGGAGGGUUCACGUCCCGGCAGGACAGCUGCUCAGAACAGCAUGGAAUUGAAAACUCAUGAAUGGUUUAUUUCUGGAAUUUUCCACUUAGUAUUUUUGGAGCGUGGCUGACCAUGGGUAACUGAAACUGUGUGUAAAGGGGACUAUUGUGAGGGGCUGUGCACAAAUGCUUCCCAGCUCUGCCCUGAAGGCCUGAACGCAGCGCCCCCCACACUCAGGGUCUUGGCCCUGAUACCAUUCUCUAACCAAAGGAACCAGGGCCAGGCCAGAGAAGGUAUUGGAUAAGCCAGAGAGUGAAGAAUUGCUGAGAUGAAGGGGCUUAUUGAAAUAACACUGGGGGAUAGGAAGGAGCACACGAUGGCCAACCUGGGGCAAUUUGAGCAUGAAAAUAAACAGGCCGGGCCCGGCAGCUCGUCUGCAAUUCCAGCACGCUGCGAGGCCGAGGUGGGAGGAUCACUUGAGGCCAGGAGUUCAGCAUGAAAAUAAACAGGCUGGGCGCAGUGGCUCACACCUGCAAUCCCUGCACUGUAGGAGGCCAAGGUGGGAGGAUCGCUUGAGGCCAGGAGUUCGAGACCAGCCUGGGUACCAUGGUGAAACCUGUCUCUACAAAACAUAAGAAAAA